rnacentral:tRNA from 1 species
GGGGUUGUGGCUCAGCGGUAGAGCACUCGCCUCGUAUAUGCAAGUCCCUGGGUUCGAUCCUCAGCACCACA